UUAAGUUAGAAAGGGCGCACGGUGGAUGCCUUGACACUAGGAGUCGAUGAAGGACGGGACUAACGCCGAUAUGCUUCGGGGAGCUGUAAGUAAGCUUUGAUCCGAAGAUUUCCGAAUGGGGAAACCCACCAUACGUAAUGGUAUGGUAUCCUUAUCUGAAUACAUAGGGUAAGGAAGACAGACCCAGGGAACUGAAACAUCUAAGUACCUGGAGGAAGAGAAAGCAAAUGCGAUUUCCUGAGUAGCGGCGAGCGAAACGGAACAUAGCCCAAACCAAGAGGCUUGCCUCUUGGGGUUGUAGGACAUUCUAUACGGAGUUACAAAGGAACGAGGUAGACGAAGCGACCUGGAAAGGUCCGUCGUAGAGGGUAACAACCCCGUAGUCGAAACUUCGUUCUCUCUUGAAUGUAUCCUGAGUACGGCGGAACACGUGAAAUUCCGUCGGAAUCUGGGAGGACCAUCUCCCAAGGCUAAAUACUCCCUAGUGAUCGAUAGUGAACCAGUACCGUGAGGGAAAGGUGAAAAGCACCCCGGAAGGGGAGUGAAAGAGAUCCUGAAACCGUGUGCCUACAAAUAGUCAGAGCCCGUUAACGGGUGAUGGCGUGCCUUUUGUAGAAUGAACCGGCGAGUUACGAUCCCGUGCGAGGUUAAGCUGAAGAGGCGGAGCCGCAGCGAAAGCGAGUCUGAAUAGGGCGUUUAGUACGUGGUCGUAGACCCGAAACCAGGUGAUCUACCCAUGUCCAGGGUGAAGUUCAGGUAACACUGAAUGGAGGCCCGAACCCACGCACGUUGAAAAGUGCGGGGAUGAGGUGUGGGUAGCGGAGAAAUUCCAAUCGAACCUGGAGAUAGCUGGUUCUCCCCGAAAUAGCUUUAGGGCUAGCCUUAAGUGUAAGAGUCUUGGAGGUAGAGCACUGAUUGGACUAGGGGUCCUCAUCGGAUUACCGAAUUCAGUCAAACUCCGAAUGCCAAUGACUUAUCCUUAGGAGUCAGACUGCGAGUGAUAAGAUCCGUAGUCAAAAGGGAAACAGCCCAGACCGCCAGCUAAGGUCCCAAAGUGUGUAUUAAGUGGAAAAGGAUGUGGAGUUGCUUAGACAACUAGGAUGUUGGCUUAGAAGCAGCCACCAUUUAAAGAGUGCGUAAUAGCUCACUAGUCGAGUGACUCUGCGCCGAAAAUGUACCGGGGCUAAAUACACCACCGAAGCUGCGGAUUGAUACCAAUGGUAUCAGUGGUAGGGGAGCGUUCUAAGGACAGUGAAGUCAGACCGGAAGGACUGGUGGAGUGCUUAGAAGUGAGAAUGCCGGUAUGAGUAGCGAAAGACGGGUGAGAAUCCCGUCCACCGAAUGCCUAAGGUUUCCUGAGGAAGGCUCGUCCGCUCAGGGUUAGUCAGGACCUAAGCCGAGGCCGACAGGCGUAGGCGAUGGACAACAGGUUGAUAUUCCUGUACCACCUCUUUAUCGUUUGAGCAAUGGAGGGACGCAGAAGGAUAGAAGAAGCGUGCGAUUGGUUGUGCACGUCCAAGCAGUUAGGCUGAUAAGUAGGCAAAUCCGCUUAUCGUGAAGGCUGAGCUGUGAUGGGGAAGCUCCUUAUGGAGCGAAGUCUUUGAUUCCCCGCUGCCAAGAAAAGCUUCUAGCGAGAUAAAAGGUGCCUGUACCGCAAACCGACACAGGUAGGCGAGGAGAGAAUCCUAAGGUGUGCGAGAGAACUCUGGUUAAGGAACUCGGCAAAAUGACCCCGUAACUUCGGGAGAAGGGGUGCUUUCUUAACGGAAAGCCGCAGUGAAUAGGCCCAAGCGACUGUUUAGCAAAAACACAGCUCUCUGCGAAGCCGUAAGGCGAAGUAUAGGGGGUGACACCUGCCCGGUGCUGGAAGGUUAAGGAGAGGGGUUAGCGUAAGCGAAGCUCUGAACUGAAGCCCCAGUAAACGGCGGCCGUAACUAUAACGGUCCUAAGGUAGCGAAAUUCCUUGUCGGGUAAGUUCCGACCCGCACGAAAGGUGUAACGAUUUGGGCACUGUCUCAACCAGAGACUCGGUGAAAUUAUAGUACCUGUGAAGAUGCAGGUUACCCGCGACAGGACGGAAAGACCCCGUGGAGCUUUACUGUAGCCUGAUAUUGAAUUUUGGUACAGUUUGUACAGGAUAGGCGGGAGCCUUUGAAACCGGAGCGCUAGCUUCGGUGGAGGCGCUGGUGGGAUACCGCCCUGACUGUAUUGAAAUUCUAACCUACGGGUCUUAUCGACCCGGGAGACAGUGUCAGGUGGGCAGUUUGACUGGGGCGGUCGCCUCCUAAAGUGUAACGGAGGCGCCCAAAGGUUCCCUCAGAAUGGUUGGAAAUCAUUCGUAGAGUGCAAAGGCAUAAGGGAGCUUGACUGCGAGACCUACAAGUCGAGCAGGGACGAAAGUCGGGCUUAGUGAUCCGGUGGUUCCGCAUGGAAGGGCCAUCGCUCAACGGAUAAAAGCUACCCCGGGGAUAACAGGCUUAUCUCCCCCAAGAGUCCACAUCGACGGGGAGGUUUGGCACCUCGAUGUCGGCUCAUCGCAUCCUGGGGCUGUAGUCGGUCCCAAGGGUUGGGCUGUUCGCCCAUUAAAGCGGUACGCGAGCUGGGUUCAGAACGUCGUGAGACAGUUCGGUCCCUAUCCGUCGUGGGCGUAGGAAAUUUGAGAGGAGCUGUCCUUAGUACGAGAGGACCGGGAUGGACGCACCGCUGGUGUACCAGUUGUUCUGCCAAGGGCAUAGCUGGGUAGCUAUGUGCGGAAGGGAUAAGUGCUGAAAGCAUCUAAGCAUGAAGCCCCCCUCAAGAUGAGAUUUCCCAUAGCGUAAGCUAGUAAGAUCCCUGAAAGAUGAUCAGGUUGAUAGGUUCGAGGUGGAAGCAUGGUG
rnacentral:rRNA from 1 species